rnacentral:lncRNA from 1 species
AUGGCCUCUUCUCCCCAUGUGAGCCAGAUCACGUUGCCCCCACCCACCACGGCUUCCCAAUGCUUGUGGAGUCAAACUGACUCCUUGCCGUACCCCAGACGUGCCUCCAUCACUGGCCCUGCCUCCAUCUCUAAUCUUGUCUUGUACUCCCCUCCUCAUCACCAUGCCCUGGACACACCUACUUCAGAGCUGUCCACCCUGCAGGAACUUGUUGGUCCCAUCAGUCCAUUUUCUCUGAGAUCUUGGCGUGAUCAACAGCUUCAUAACAUGCAGAGCUCCGCACAAAGGCAUUUCUACCUACUGUAACCUCAGAUGUUAGCUCAAUAGGAAGCCUUGCUUAACCAAGUCAUCCGAGAAGCCAAGCCCCCAGUGAAUCUCUACCACGCCAUCCUGUCUUACAGCCCUGGUAGUUCUUCCUACUCUGAAGUUUCUCAUUCACAUGCAGCGAUCUUGUCACUGUGGCGUAUGCAUUUAGGGACUGUCUGCCUGCUCUGCUAAAUGAGUUCAGUGAGAACUGGGUCCUUGCCUGUUCUGUUUAGAUGCCCAGAGUUGAACAUGUCCCUGAAUGAAUGAAUGAAUGAAUGAAAUGCUGAUUAACUCAAGAGAUCUUGAAAAAAAUGUAAAUUAGUCAAUCCAGGUUUUGGAGGAGAGAGCCAGGGUAAUGAAAGGCAUAGAGAAGAGGCCAUCAGUCACCUCUGUGGUCAGACUUUGAUGACAUUUACCCACCAUUUAGCCCACUGUCCAGAGAGAUCCCUAGCCAAGAAACUCUCUCAAGGAGGAAAUAAUGAUCAAGAAACUCGCAUAUCACUGAAAGCAGUAGGGAGUGGGGAGUAUGCUUUAUCAGGUCCCAAAUAAUCAUCUACCUUCCUUUUGCUCUGUUACAAAUUGCUCAUCGUGGCUGUGACUUUCUGAUAACAAGGGAUCCUUCCCUAAUUACUAUAUGUUCUAUUUCAGGUUCAGCAGAAAAGAAAAUUAAAAAGCUCCAUUUCACUCCAGGUUCAAAUGAGUCGAUCUUUCAAUCAAUCAAGUAUUAAUUAAGCUAUGCUAGGAAAUACAGUGGAGGAAAAAGACCUUCUCUCUACUCAAAGAUGAUGCAUAGAAAAUAAUUAGAGAAUAAUUUAAGGACAAUGGAAAGAGUUUAAAAAGGGUUUUCAUCUGGGCUUUCUUUGACUUUCCGUUAAGUCUCUAGCCACUUUAUUCUUCUUUACUCUUUCUCUCUCUCUCUUCCUUUCAUUUCUCUCUUCCCUUCCCUAAUUACAUUGUCUCCCAAGGAUACAUGUCAUAGACUCUGACAAUAAUUAGUCGUUUUCAGUCACUCUUAGGAGUAAACACUAAAAAUCGUGUCUCUCUGAUACUCUGAAAAUUCCAACAGUGCCAAAUGUGAUUGAAUAUAAUAUCCCCAGCCUGUUAGCAAGUUAUAAACGUCCUCAUAUUUAUGUCCCUAGGUCAUCAAGGAAACUUGAGUUUUCUUCUCCUCAACCAAAAAACAACAAAUUCAGGACUUUUGCCUCCUUCACUAAUACCGGCUUGGAGUCUAGGCAACAUCCACUUAAGCACUUUGAGUUUAUAGUUUUCUCUUCUGUAAACACAAAUGUUAGCUCUUAGCACAUUUCUCAGAAGGCGAGGUGUUUUUUCCACUGUACUACAUUGUUUUAUUCCUUAUACCCCACAGAGUGCCUGGCAGAAAGUGGGCUGGCAGUAUUUGCUGAAUGGAUGAAUGAAUGAAUGAGUGAGUAAAUGAAAGAUAUGUAUAAAGAUAAUGUGUGUAAAGCAUAUUGCCUAAGUACACUUCACACAGUGGGAGCCUUAGAAUUGCCUUGAAAACCAUAGAGCACUCUAUUGAUUAUACUACUCAUUGUGUGAAAGGUAAAAACAGCCAUUCAUUUCAGAAUUCAUAGAGCUUUUGCAGAGUUUGAUCACUUUCACUGUGAACUGGUUUAAGAAGUGAAUCAGCCAAUCCUAGGAGUCAAGGCAGACUCAUCUGCCUUUCCCCUGCUCUCUCAUUAAUUUUAUUCCCGUUCAUUCUCAGCUGCCACCCCUCUUUCAGCCCUGACAUCCAGGAUCUAGUUUCUUAGGGCUACCUUGUCUUGUCCAUCACUAUCAACUUUCUCCUCUUCAUUUAAGCUAGAAUGCUCACUUGUUUUCCUUUGACUAACCUCUUUUAACACAGAGACCUCAGAGGCCAAAGCCUCAAAAACAGAGGGUUGGCAUAAUGUCUUAUCACCUUUCACAGGAACAGGGAAUGAUCUGUUGAAUCCAAAAGCCACCAUUGGUUGUGUUCUUACUAAGUGCCCAACUCUGUGUGUGUAAUCAAGGCUCAACAGACAGGACCUCAUUCAAGAAUGCAGGAGGUGGGUCUUUUAAAUCCCCAUUAUACAGAUAAGGAAACCAAGGCUAUCAGAGACUGAGUAAUUUGCCCAAGGCCAUGGAGCUACUUUUCACUGUGUUCAUAGGGUUCUUGAGGCAAUAAUACUGAAGUGGUUGGCAAUACCCUUCUCCAGUGGAGCACGUUUUGUC